rnacentral:lncRNA from 1 species
UUCGGCUGUCACUUCCCGCUCUGGCCUUCAGAUUCCUCAGUGUGGAAAGCGAGGGAAUCAGGCCACAGUCUUUGCAACUCUCUCUCUAGUUCUCUGACUUUGCAGCUUCCAGCAGUCUACAUCCAACUAGGAAAGACAAAGCCAGGGUGAUGCCCAGGGGCUGGUAUGGUGGUGCCCGCCUCAGUACCAGCGCUGGAGCGGUGGAUCUCUGUGAGUCUGACGACAACCUAGUCUACGUGGAGUAGCAGUUCUCAACCCCUUUGGGGGCUGGAUGACCUUUCAUGGGGGGGGGGUCUCCUAAGGCCACCAGAAAACACAGAUAUUUACAUUAUGAUUCAUAACAGUAGCAAAGUCAGAGUUGUGAAGUAACA